rnacentral:rRNA from 1 species
GACGUAGGGCGCGAGCGUUGUCCGGAUUUAUUGGGCGUAAAGAGCUCGUAGGCGGCUUGUCGCGUCGUCCGUGAAAACCCACGGCUUAACUGUGGGCUUGCGGUCGAUACGGGCAGGCUAGAGUUCGGUAGGGGAGACUGGAAUUCCUGGUGUAGCGGUGAAAAUGCGCAGAUAUCAGGAGGAACACCGGUGGCGAAGGCGGGGUCUCUGGGGCCGAUACUGACGCUGAGGAGCGAAAAGCGUGGGGGAGCGAACAGGG